rnacentral:rRNA from 1 species
CCCUUAGAUGUUCUGGGCCGCACGCGUGCUACACUGACCGGCGCAACAAGCAUCCGUCCUUGGCCGACAGGCUCGGGCAAUCUUUGAACGCUGGUCGUGAUGGGGAUAGACUUUUGCAAUUUUUGGUCUUCAACGAGGAAUUCCUAGUAAACGCAAGUCAUCAACUUGCAUUGAUUACGUCCCUGCCCUUUGUACACACCGCCCGUCGCACCUACCGAUUGAAUGGUCCGGUGAAGCCUCCGGAUUGGCGCGCACCUCGGUGCCGCCGAGAAGUUGGCUAAACCUUACCAUUUAGAGGAAGGUGAAGUCGUAACA